rnacentral:rRNA from 1 species
AUGUACGCUGCCGAUCUCAUAAACACUUGCCAUAAGCGUAAAAACCCCGCGAUGGUGCUAAAACUGGACUUCAGGAAAGCCUUCGACUCUGUGUCCUGGCACGCCCUCCUCCUAAUCCUGCAACAUUGGGGCUUCCCCACCCGAUUCUGCUCUUGGAUAAAUGAUCUACUUACCUCUGGAAAAACUGCUGUCAUGUUAAAUGGUGUGCAGGGCGACUGGAUUAACUGUAAGAAUGGCCUGCGUCAGGGUGACCCCAUGUCUCCAUACCUUUUCCUCAUAGUUGCUGAUGUUCUCCAGCAACUUAUACUAAAAACGGUUGCCUCUUCCCCUGACCUAUGCCACCCAAUCUACCCUGAUCUCCCCCUGCCAUCCUGCAAUACGCGGAUGACACGCUAA